UAGGGAAUCUUCGGCAAUGGACGGAAGUCUGACCGAGCAACGCCGCGUGAGUGAAGAAGGUUUUCGGAUCGUAAAGCUCUGUUGUUAGAGAAGAACGUUGGUAGGAGUGGAAAAUCUACCAAGUGACGGUAACUAACCAGAAAGGGACGGCUAACUACGUGCCAGCAGCCGCGGUAAUACGUAGGUCCCGAGCGUUGUCCGGAUUUAUUGGGCGUAAAGCGAGCGCAGGCGGUUCUUUAAGUCUGAAGUUAAAGGCAGUGGCUUAACCAUUGUACGCUUUGGAAACUGGAGGACUUGAGUGCAGAAGGGGAGGGUGGAAUUCCAGGUGUAGCGGUAAAAUGCGUAGAUAGAUGGAGGAACACCGGUGGCGAAAGCGGCUCUCUGGUCUGUAACUGACGCUGAGGCUCGAAAGGGUGGGGAGCAAACAGG
rnacentral:rRNA from 1 species